rnacentral:rRNA from 1 species
UACGAGGGGGGCAAAUGUUGUUCGGAAUCACUGGGCGUAAAGGGAGCGUAGGCGGGUUCUUAAGUAAGGUGUUUAAUCCCGGGGCCCAACCCCGGACCGGCACUUUAAACUGGGAAUCUUGAAUAGUGGAGAGGUCGGUGGAAUUGGAGGUGUAGCGGUGGAAUGCGUAGAGAUCUCCAAGAACACCAGUUGCGAAGGCGGCCGACUGGACACAUAUUGACGCUGAGGCUCGAAAGCAUGGGGAGCAAACAGG